AUGGAUGAAAAGAGUACUAACACCUUCCCUUUUCAUAAUCUACCCCCCGAACUCAAGAAAACAUCUCUAAAGGUCUUUCCUGUGCUUUUUCACAUUUUCUUAUUGGAUAAAAGAAAAAUCGAUGGCGACUCUUGCUAUCCGCAACAUUUGCGAUCAAACGCAAAACAAAAAGUCUGUUCUCCCACCGUAUCACAGACCCCAAUCGAUAGUGCUAGCUUUCAGCCAAACGGGACAGUGGUCUGA